rnacentral:rRNA from 1 species
AUUGAACGCUGGCGGCAGGCCUAACACAUGCAAGUCGAGCGGAUGAAGGGAGCUUUCUCCUGGAUUCAGCGGCGGACGGGUGAGUAAUGCCUAGGAAUCUGCCUGGUAGUGGGGGAUAACGUCCGGAAACGGGCGCUAAUACCGCAUACGUCCUGAGGGUGAAAGUGGGGGAUCUUCGGACCUCACGCUAUCAGAUGAGCCUAGGUGGGAUUAGCUAGUUGGUGGGGUAAAGGCCUACCAAGGCGACGAUCCGUAACUGGUCUGAGAGGAUGAUCGGCCACACUGGAAAUGAGAAACGGUGCAGACACCUACGGGAGGCAGCAGGAGGGAAUGUGGCGCAAUGGGCGAAAGCUGGACGGAGCAAGGCGGCGUGAGUGAGGAAGGUCUGCGGAUCGUAAAACUUUGUUAUGAGGGAAGAACAAAUGUGUAAGUAACUAUGCACGGCUUGACGGUACCUAAUCAGAAAGACACGGCUAGCUACGUG